ensembl:rRNA 5S_rRNA 5S ribosomal RNA
AUCUACAGCUAUACCACUUUGAAUGCACCCAAUCUCAUCUGAUCUUGGAAGCUAAGCAGGGUUGGGCCUGGGAGUACUUGGAUGGGAGAACGCUUGGGAAUACCAGGUGCUGUAGGCU